AUUGGUCAUUGGACAAAGGGUGUAUGCCAGAAUUUUUUCAAGAACAGUCUGAAUCUGACAUGGAAAAAAUUAAGAAAAACAGCCUUCCUGUUUAUAAAUCUACAUUCUGACAAAGGAUCAUUUUCUUGAGAUAGGUGGAACCAACAGUCAAAUACAGACACUUCUAAGAAAAGUAAAAAUCUGGCUCAGGUAAGAAAGAAAUUCAGGAGUUCUUAAAUUGCCCUUGGAGUUCUUGGAUUGCAUCAAACUGCUAAAAGACCUCAACAAAAACAGCGUCUUGAAAAUAAAAAUGAAAAUAUUCAGUGAAAAAAAAAUGAUGAAAGAGCCACUAAAAAUCUUCAAGCCUUUGAGCUGAAAUCUGGAAGUCAAUCUGUGGACUUUACUAGUAAGUCAUAAUUACUAAGUCAUCAUUUGUGUAUAAUAAAUACACUAAACUGUAAACACUUGUUAAAAUGUGUAUAAUUUUUAGAUAUAAUUUGUAUCUCAUAGACUUCAAUAGUUUCAUGUAAUUUAAGUAAUAAUGAAAAUUUCCUGUUGUCUAGCUAGAUUAGAAACUAUUAUUGUCCAAUUUUGGAUAUUGUGAAAUAAUUCAUCUAGUAUGCACACAUGUGUGUACACUUAUGUGUAAAUUAAUUGUUAUAGCAAAUUCAAUCGAUCAUUAAGUUGAAUGUUGACUAAUGUUUUUCAUCAAAAUUGUUUACACUGAAUUGUUUGUGGAUUUUUCCAUUUGCCCAAUCAUGUCAAGGAGCACAUGGCAGGAAAUGCUUUCUCCUCCAUUGCACCUGGUGUUUUUAGAGUCUGUUUGCUCUGCUCUAAUUAUGUAUUGUUUCAAUGGACUUUAAAGCUUGAUCACUGUUGGUAAUCUUCAUAUUUCAUAUACGAUUAGAGUACUUGAAGAAAACUGUAAAGAUUUAACAUACAGUAUAAUGCAUGUAUAUUGCACUUUAAGUACAGUGUAUGUGGUUAAGAAAUGUUAAAUCCUCUCAUAGUGCAUUGAAUUUGUUGAAAAUUAGAAAAUGUGUUGAAAUUUUUUUUGAAAUAAUGUUAGAUUGCAGAUUUUUUUAAAUCAUGCAAGUAAGAAAUUGCUAAAUAUUUUUUAGAUUUUCUGGACAGUCUAGAUGAGUUCUCACUAUAUACCUAGCAUUGUCAUCCAAGUUAAAAUUUAAGGAGCAAGGUUCAUUCCUAAGCUCUACCUGGACAAACUUGCAUGGAUUAAAGCACAUUAACAGAUUUACUUCAGAUGCUUGACCUGAUCUACAUUUUCCUCAUGUGUUUUUUUUUUUGUUUUUGUUUGUUUGUUGUUUAACAUCCCUCUCAAGAAUUUUUCAUCCAUAUGGAGAUGCCACUACUUGCUGGUGGAGAGCUGCAAAAUUUGACCUAUACUUUGCACUCAGGGCCUUGAGCAGUAAGGGAUCUUUUU